CCUACGGGCGGCUGCAGUGGGGAAUAUUGGACAAUGGGGGAAACCCUGAUCCAGCAAUGCCGCGUGUGUGAAGAAGGCCUGCGGGUUGUAAAGCACUUUCGGUUGGGAAGAAAAGUUUGGCGCCAAUACCGCCGAACCUUGACGUUACUGACAGAAGAAGCACCGGCUAACUCUGUGCCAGCAGCCGCGGUAAUCCAGAGGGUGCAACUGGUAAUCGGAAUCACUGGGCGUAAAGCGUACGUAGGGUGUGAAAUCCCCGGGCUGAACCUGGGAACUGCAUUCGAUACUACAUGGCGAGAGUAUGGUAGAGGGAAGUGGAAUUUCCGGUGUAGCGGUGAAAUGCGUAGAGAUCGGAAGGAACACCAAUGGCGAAGGCAGCUUCCUGGACUAAUACUGACACUGAGGCACGAAAGCGUGGGUAGCAAACAGGAUUAGAUACCCCAGUAGUC
rnacentral:rRNA from 1 species